UCUGGUGGUGCGUAUAGCAUCGUUAGUGAGCAUAUGGAGAUGUGUCUCCGACGGAUCUAUCUUUGGUGGAUCUGCUCGAAUUUGUUCGUCAUUCGUCUACGUUUGCGUGUCUUUAGAUUGGAUCCUUCCGGUCUAUACUACUCUUUAUCGGCGACGGUAGUUAUGGUGCGCUGGUCCUGCGGGCCUUAGCACAACGACUUUCCGACUGUCUAGUACAAUAAAUUUUGCUAGAUUCCGAUGAGGGAGGGACGAUGACGGCAUCGCGCUUUUCUUGUAGUCGUCGCUAGAUAGUUUAUGAAUCUGGAUGUAAUUUUUAUUAUUUCUGAUGUUCGUUGUACUGCCGCGAUUGAUUUUGUUUUUUGAAACGAAGCUACACGCACGGAGGACGGAGCGUCUUUGGCUUUUUGGGUGCAUCAGCUUGGUUCCUAGCAUAGGUUCUUAACUGAUGCCAUGUACUUCCUUCCGGCCCCCUCCCCUCUGUUUUCUACUUCCUUUAGGCAACUUUAUGGCCUCUGCACCACAGUGCGUAACAUAAGUUUCUUAUAAGUGAACUUUGAUCACCGGGCUGUGGCCUGUUUUGAAAUGCAUAAGUAGAGUGAGAUAUACUUUUUAUUUCAAAAGAAAAAAAACAUAAUUAAACAUGAAUAAAUCGAAAGUUUUCUCAAAAAAAAUCAGAUAUCCUUGAAUCUCCCAACAUCACUCAAGCAACAUUAAAAUCUUCUCGCCUCAUGCACUCAAAUCUUCUCGUAUAGAUCCUGCAAAAAAAGUCUUCUUGUAUAGCCGUAUCCCGGUUUUUUUCUUUUUUAAACACGGGAAGGGGACUAGAAAGUCCCCGAAGCUGCUUCACAUAACAAAAGUGACAGUACACCAUAAAGAGGACCCUGGGAGAACUGCAGUUAGAGACACGUCCUCUCUAUUUGCAAACAGGACCCUAAGGUAAAAAUAAAACGGUUUUGCUAUUUUUCAUCCGGCUGAAUUCAAUUGGGCUUUCAUCCGGUUUUUUAGCCAUGCGAUCUAUGUGCCGUGAUUCGUGUUUUUUUUUGUCCCGCUGUUGCCAUUUUUUCUUACGGUUUUGCUAUUUUUCAUCCGGCUGAAUUCAAUUGGCUUUCAUCCGUUUUUUUAGCCGUGCGAUCUAUGUGCCGUGAUUCGUGUUUUUUUUCCCCACUGUUGCCAUUUUUUCUUAUCGGGCCCUUUCCUGGAGACCCGAUACGCUUCCUUUGCUAUCGCCCGCAAUCGCCCGCAUAGUUGGGUUGGCCCGUUCCCCUCCUCCUCGUUUCCCCUUCUCAUUUCACAGACGCAACUAGAACAGAGCGAGGGAGAGACAGUCAUGGCGAUUUGGAGCUCUCCUCGACGCCCGAUUCAGUACAGUGGUGGCCCGGCGUCUGGCUGCCCCGCCCCCUCCGUCUGCCGCGCUUAUUUCCCACCGGGUCUGUUCUUUCUUCCAGAUUUGUUCCGGCAAGAGAGAGACGACAGGAGGUGAUGAAUGCACAGGAGGGGUGGUGUUUACCUGUGUUUUUUUUUUUUGCUUCUCCAGCCAUGUUUGUGUUCUAGAUCAUGGAUGAAUCGCUCUCUCUGGUGGCGCUUCUCCAGGGAUAAAUUUGGUACUUUCUCAGUGGAGUUGUAAUGUAAUUCUUUUGUGUGUUUUUAGUGGAAUUACAGUGUAUUUUUAGUGGAAUUACCGUGCAUUUUCAGUGGUUUUUACAUUGUAAUUGUUAGUGGAAUUACAGUGGAAUUUACACUGUAAAUCUUAGUGGGUUUACAGUGUAUUUUUAGUUGAUUUUUGCUCUGUAUUUGCAAGUGGCAUUUUUAGUGGAAUUACAGUGUAUUUUUAGUGGAAUUACUGUGCAUUUGCAGUGGUUUUUACACUGUAAUUAUUAGUGGAAUUUACACUGUAAAUCUUAGUGGGUUUACUUUGUAUUUUUAGUGGAUUUUUGCUCUGUAUGUGCAAGUGGCAUUUUUAGUGGAAUCGCAAUGGAUUUUUAGUGGA